CCUACAGGUGGCAGCAGUGGGGAAUAUUGGACAAUGGGGGGAACCCUGAUCCAGCCAUGCCGCGUGUGUGAAGAAGGCCCUCGGGUUGUAAAGCACUUUCAGUGAGGAAGAACGCCUGGUGGUUAAUACCCAUCAGGAAAGACAUCACUCACAGAAGAAGCACCGGCUAACUCCGUGCCAGCAGCCGCGGUAAUACGGAGGGUGCGAGCGUUAAUCGGAAUUACUGGGCGUAAAGCGCGCGUAGGUGGCUUGAUAAGCCGGUUGUGAAAGCCCCGGGCUCAACCUGGGAACGGCAUCCGGAACUGUCAAGCUAGAGUGCAGGAGAGGAAGGUAGAAUUCCCGGUGUAGCGGUGAAAUGCGUAGAGAUCGGGAGGAAUACCAGUGGCGAAGGCGGCCUUCUGGACUGACACUGACACUGAGGUGCGAAAGCGUGGGUAGCAAACAGGAUUAGAUACCCCGGUAGUC
rnacentral:rRNA from 1 species